AGUAACGCGUGAGGAACCUGCCUCAAAGAGGGGGACAACAGUUGGAAACGACUGCUAAUACCGCAUAAGCCCACGGCUCGGCAUCGAGCAGAGGGAAAAGGAACAAUCCGCUUUGAGAUGGCCUCGCGUCCGAUUAGCUAGUUGGUGAGGUAACGGCCCACCAAGGCGAUGAUCAGUAGCCGGUCUGAGAGGAUGAACGGCCACAUUGGGACUGAGACACGGCCCAG
rnacentral:rRNA from 1 species